rnacentral:rRNA from 1 species
GCGUGAGUGAAGAAGGCCUUAGGGUUGUAAAGCUCUUUCGGCGGGGAAGAUGAUGACGGUACCCGCAGAAGAAGCCCCGGCUAACUCCGUGCCAGCAGCCGCGGUAAUACGGAGGGGGCUAGCGUUGUUCGGAAUUACUGGGCGUAAAGCGCACGUAGGCGGCGGAACGAGUCAGAGGUGAAAGGCCCGGGCUUAACCUGGGAACGGCCUUUGAUACUGUUUUGCUGGAGUCCGGAAGAGGGUAGUGGAACUCCCAGUGUAGAGGUGAAAUUCGU